UACGGGGGGAGCAAGCGUUGUUCGGAUUUACUGGGCGUAAAGGGCGCGUAGGCGGCCAGCACAAGUCAGUUGUGAAAUCUCCGAGCUUAACUCGGAACGGUCAACUGAUACUGUGCGGCUAGAGUGCAGAAGGGGCGACUGGAAUUCUUGGUGUAGCGGUGAAAUGCGUAGAUAUCGAGAGGAACACCUGCGGCGAAGGCGGGUUGCUGGGCUGAUACUGACGCUGAGGCGCGAAAGCUAGGGGAGCGAACGGG
rnacentral:rRNA from 1 species